AGUGAACGCUGGCGGUAGGCCUAACACAUGCAAGUCGAACGGCAGCACAGAGGAGCUUGCUCCUUGGGUGGCGAGUGGCGGACGGGUGAGGAAUACAUCGGAAUCUACUCUGUCGUGGGGGAUAACGUAGGGAAACUUACGCUAAUACCGCAUACGACCUACGGGUGAAAGCAGGGGACCUUCGGGCCUUGCGCGAUUGAAUGAGCCGAUGUCGGAUUAGCUAGUUGGCGGGGUAAAGGCCCACCAAGGCGACGAUCCGUAGCUGGUCUGAGGGGAUGAUCAGCCACACUGGAACUGAGACGCGGUCCAGACUCCUACGGGAGGCAGCAGUGGGGAAUAUUGGACAAUGGGCGCAAGCCUGAUCCAGCCAUACCGCGUGGGUGAAGAAGGCCUUCGGGUUGUAAAGCCCUUUUGUUGGGGAAGAAAUCCAGCUGGCUAAUACCCGGUUGGGAUGACGGUACCCAAAGAAUAAGCACCGGCUAACUUCGUGCCAGCCGCCGCGGUAA
rnacentral:rRNA from 1 species